rnacentral:rRNA from 1 species
GACGAACGCUGGCGGCGUGCUUAACACAUGCAAGUCGAACGGAAAGGCCUUUUCGGAGGUACUCGAGUGGCGAACGGGUGAGUAACACGGGGGUGAUCUUCCCUGCACUCUGGGAUAAGCCUGGGAAACUGGGUCUAAUACCGGAUAGAACCGCACUUUAGUGUGUGUGGUGGCAAGUUUUUUCGGUGUAGGAUGAGCCGGCGGCCUAUCAGCUUGUUGGUGGGGUAAUGGGCUACCAAGGCGGCGACGGGUAGCCGGACUGAGGGGUUGGUCGGCCACAUUGGGACCUAGGUGAGGCCCAAGUGCCUAAGGGAGGACGAAGGGGGGAAUAUUGCACCAUGGGCGCAGGCUGGAUGCAGCGAGGCCGCGGGGGGGAUGACGGCCUUCGGGUUGUAAAAUCCUUUCGCCAGGGACGAAGCGUUUUGUGACGGUACCUGGAGAAGAAGCACCGGCUAACUACGUG